AUGGCUGUCACACAGACCCUUUCUGUUUUGUGUAUUAUGUGCCACAGUGUUUCUCGAGUCUCCAGAGCUGAGGGCAGCCCUACCGACUCCUGGGGCACCGUCUGCUGGAUUCAGCCAGCAGGAGGGAAGGAGUUGUAUUCAGCUCCAGGAGGAAAAAAAGGCUCAGGAGUCAGAGAAGUGGUUUCUGCCCGGCUUUCACCAGAGGUCCUCCUCCAAAGGCUGUGUCUCCAAACAGUGACCUUUCUGCUACCCGGCGAGCAGUCCAAGACUCCUAUGCAACUUCCCUGUUCUGGCCUUACUGAGCAGGAUAGGCAUGCACUUAAUCGAGCAGAGCCUGCUCCUCCAGCAGCAGCACCUGAUCAAACCCUGCAAGUGGGGAUUUCCAGCAGCCUCAGCAGGAUCAGCCCGUGGAAAAUGAAUUGUGCCUCGCUUGGAUUGGGGCCCACAGGGCAAUGCUGCUCUGCCCUGAGAGGGAUUCAGCACAGAAGGAAUCAGUACUGCUAAAUAAGGACAAAAAGUAGAAAGCUAAUUUGUUUCUAAAUGACGAUGGUAGAACAGAACAAGUCUCUGCAAGCUCAGUGAGUUUCUGUUCAUUAAGUGACUUCCAAAGACAGCUUACCCCAUUCAGAUUCAAGAAUCAACAAUUAAACUAUUUUCUAUACAAACCUCUUGUUGAUUUAUCAGUUAAGCACUUUAAGUAUGAAACAGCC
rnacentral:lncRNA from 1 species